rnacentral:pre_miRNA from 1 species
GAACUACUCCCUCCGUUCCGAAUUACUUGUCGUAAGUAUGGAUGUAUCUAAAUGUAUUUUAGUUCUAGAUACAUCAAUUUCUAAGACAAGUAAUUUGGAACGGAGGAAGUAUUUG